CCUGAUCUGUGAAGCAAAGAGGCAUUCUGCAGGUGUGGAGGGGGAACCCCUCAAGGACACAAUGGCAACAGAUACAGAUAACACAGACAGAGGAUCUGAGCACACCAGAUAAGAGGAAGGGACUGCUGCAAAAGACAAUUAAAGAAACAGCACAACUCUCUGCUUAGCACAAGCUGUGGAAUGAAGCAACCAGUAACAAGGUUCUACGGAGACAAGCUUGUCAUAGGGCAAUUGAUAGA